rnacentral:lncRNA from 1 species
GGAGUGUUAACACGGGAGUGCGUUGCUUGCGCCGGCAGAAUUCGCAAAAGAUAACGCCGAGGAGCUCAAAAACCAGGAACAU